AGAGUUUGAUCCUGGCUCAGAUUGAACGCUGUUGGCAGGCCUAACACAUGCAAGUCGAACGGUAACAGGAAGCAGCUUGCUGCUUCGCUGACGAGUGGCGGACGGGUGAGUAAUGUCUGGGAAACUGCCUGAUGGAGGGGGAUAACUACUGGAAACGGUAGCUAAUACCGCAUAACGUCGCAAGACCAAAGAGGGGGACCUUCGGGCCUCUUGCCAUCGGAUGUGCCCAGAUGGGAUUAGCUUGUUGGUGGGGUAACGGCUCACCAAGGCGACGAUCCCUAGCUGGUCUGAGAGGAUGACCAGCCACACUGGAACUGAGACACGGUCCAGACUCCUACGGGAGGCAGCAGUGGGGAAUAUUGCACAAUGGGCGCAAGCCUGAUGCAGCCAUGCCGCGUGUAUGAAGAAGGCCUUCGGGUUGUAAAGUACUUUCAGCGGGGAGGAAGGGAGUAAAGUUAAUACCUUUGCUCAUUGACGUUACCCGCAGAAGAAGCACCGGCUAACUCCGUGCCAGCAGCCGCGGUAAUACGGAGGGUGCAAGCGUUAAUCGGAAUUACUGGGCGUAAAGCGCACGCAGGCGGUUUGUUAAGUCAGAUGUGAAAUCCCCGGGCUCAACCUGGGAACUGCAUCUGAUACUGGCAAGCUUGAGUCUCGUAGAGGGGGGUAGAAUUCCAGGUGUAGCGGUGAAAUGCGUAGAGAUCUGGAGGAAUACCGGUGGCGAAGGCGGCCCCCUGGACGAAGACUGACGCUCAGGUGCGAAAGCGUGGGGAGCAAACAGGAUUAGAUACCUUGGUAGUCCACGCCGUAAACGAUGUCGACUUGGAGGUUGUGCCCUUGAGGCGUGGCUUCCGGAGCUAACGCGUUAAGUCGACCGCCUGGGGAGUACGGCCGCAAGGUUAAAACUCAAAUGAAUUGACGGGGGCCCGCACAAGCGGUGGAGCAUGUGGUUUAAUUCGAUGCAACGCGAAGAACCUUACCUGGUCUUGACAUCCACGGAAGUUUUCAGAGAUGAGAAUGUGCCUUCGGGAACCGUGAGACAGGUGCUGCAUGGCUGUCGUCAGCUCGUGUUGUGAAAUGUUGGGUUAAGUCCCGCAACGAGCGCAACCCUUAUCCUUUGUUGCCAGCGGUCCGGCCGGGAACUCAAAGGAGACUGCCAGUGAUAAACUGGAGGAAGGUGGGGAUGACGUCAAGUCAUCAUGGCCCUUACGACCAGGGCUACACACGUGCUACAAUGGCGCAUACAAAGAGAAGCGACCUCGCGAGAGCAAGCGGACCUCAUAAAGUGCGUCGUAGUCCGGAUUGGAGUCUGCAACUCGACUCCAUGAAGUCGGAAUCGCUAGUAAUCGUGGAUCAGAAUGCCACGGUGAAUACGUUCCCGGGCCUUGCACUCACCGCCCGUCA
rnacentral:rRNA from 1 species